rnacentral:rRNA from 1 species
UACGGAGGGUGCAAGCGUUAUCCGGAAUCACUGGGUUUAAAGGGUACGCAGGCGGUAGAAUAAGUCUGGCGUGAAAGGCUGUCGCUUAACGAUGGAAUUGCGUUGGAUACUGUUUUACUAGAAUACGAUCGAAGUGAUCGGAAUGCGUCAUGUAGCGGUGAAAUGCAUAGAUAUGACGUAGAACACCGAAAGCGAAGGCAGGUCACUAGGUCGAUAUUGACGCUGAGGUACGAAAGCGUGGGUAGCGAACAGG